GUUGUGUGGACACCACGAGAUGGCAGUGAUGGUCUUCUUGUGCUCGGACAUGAUGGCACGCAGCUUGAACUCGUUGUAUCUGUGGUCCAGCUGAAAAGACAGCAUACGGCGUACAUAUACCGUUCUACUCAGCAGCUGCAUAACCUCCUACCUUCAUGCCGUCAUCUCUCCUGCAGAACCAACUGAGUGUCUCCAUGCCUCCGGAACCGGUGUGAUGAUAACUUCCUGGUUCUGGUACAAAAUGACAUCAUCCCUGAGUCUCCGCUCUAUCGGGUGAUUGGUCUGCGUCUCUCCUCCGACGACAGCAUGAAUGGAUGAAUGAAUCCAUCCAUCCAUUUUCCAUACCGUUUAUGGUCGCAGGGAGCCUGGAGCCUAUCCCAGGGAACACAAGACCUGGAUGCGUUUACCAAACCACACUACAGACUAUCUGGAAAUCACCCUACGGCGCAAGUCUUUGGACUGGAGGAGGAAACCGGAGUACCCGGAGGAAACCCCACAAAUCCCGGAGUCAACAUGCAAACUCUGUACACACAGGGCAGAGGCAGGAUUAAAACCCCUAACCCUGAAAAUGCGAGGCAAACGUCCUAGCCGCUACGCCACCAUGCGCUCUGAAUGAAUCAUUCCAGGACCUGGAGGAUUUUUCUGAAGAACAGCGGGCAGUUUAACUGCUCAGGACAAACCAGGGACUCAUGAAGAACUCUCACAGAACAUAAACACAGUCGUGAAUCAUCCAGGUAACGACACACAGAAUUAAGAAUCAAGGGUUUGUAAAAUUUUGUGCGGGGUAUUUUUUUUUUUAUAAAUUCAGCUAUUAUCUUGUCUUGUGGACUAAAUGUGAACAUCUGUCAUGUGAAAUAGCUUAUUCAGGACAGAAGUAAAUAAACAACAACAUGGGAUUUUUA